AACGUAGGACGCAAGCGUUAUCCGGAAUUACUGGGCGUAAAGCGCGGGCAGGCGGCUCGAUGCGUCUGAUGUGAAAUCUCCUCGCUCAACGGGGAGAGGCCAUUGGAAACGGUCGGGCUGGAGGGCAGUAGAGGCAGGCGGAAUUCCGGGUGGAGUGGUGAAAUGCGUAGAGAUCCGGAGGAACACCAGAGGCGAAGGCGGCCUGCUGGGCUGCACCUGACGCUGAGCCGCGAAAGCCAGGGGAGCGAACGGG
rnacentral:rRNA from 1 species